UGGGGGAACGAGAGAAGCACUUUGAAAGAGGUUAAACAGCACGUGAAAUUGUUAAAAGGGAAGCGCUUGUGACCAGACUUGCGUCCGGUGAAUCACCCAGCUCUCGCGGCUGGGGCACUUCGCCGGCUCAGGCCAGCAUCAGCUCGCUGUCGGGGACAAAAGCUUCAGGAACGUAGCUCUCUUCGGGGAGUGUUAUAGCCUGUUGCAUAAUACCCUUCGGCGGGCUGAGGUACGCGCUCCGCAAGGAUGCUGGCAUAAUGGUCAUCAGCGACCCGUCUUGAAACACGGACCAAG
rnacentral:rRNA from 1 species